CAAUAGCGUAUAUUAAAGUUGUUGCAGUUAAAAAGCUCGUAGUUGGAUUUCGGGGCAGCCUGGCUGGUCCGCCGCAAGGCGAGUACUGGUCAGCCGCCCUUCCUCUCGAAAGCCCCGACUACUCUUCGUUGCAGUGGUCGGGUAGUUCGGGACGUUUACUUUGAAAAAAUUAGAGUGUUCAAGGCAGGCCUACGCCUGAAUACAUUAGCAUGGAAUAAUGGAAGAGGACCUCGGUCCUAUUUUGUUGGUUUCCAGGGCCGAAGUAAUGAUUAAGAGGGACAGUUGGGGGCAUUCGUAUUUAAUUGUCAGAGGUGAAAUUCUCGGAUUUAUGAAAGACGAACAACUGCGAAAGCAUUUGCCAAGGAUGUUUUCAUUAA
rnacentral:rRNA from 1 species